rnacentral:rRNA from 1 species
GUCUACGGCCAUACCACCCUGAACAUGCCUGAUCCCGUCUAAUCUCAGAAGCUAAACAGAGUUGGGCCCGGUUAGUACUUGGAUGGGAGACCACCUAGGAAGACCAGGUGCUGCAGGCG